rnacentral:rRNA from 1 species
AGAGUUUGAUCCUGGCUCAGAUUGAACGCUGGCGGCAGGCCUAACACAUGCAAGUCGAGCGGUAACAGAGAGAAGCUUGCUUCUUUGCUGACGAGCGGCGGACGGGUGAGUAAUACUUGGGAACUUGCCUCUAGGCGGGGGACAACCACUGGAAACGGUGGCUAAUACCGCAUAAUGUCUACGGACCAAAGUGGGGGACCUUCGGGCCUCACACCUAGAGAUGGGCCCAAGCGGGAUUAGCUAGUUGGUGAGGUAAAGGCUCACCAAGGCGACGAUCCCUAGCUGUUCUGAGAGGAUGAUCAGCCACACUGGGACUGAGACACGGCCCAGACUCCUACGGGAGGCAGCAGUGGGGAAUAUUGCACAAUGGGCGCAAGCCUGAUGCAGCCAUGCCGCGUGUGUGAAGAAGGCCUUCGGGUUGUAAAGCACUUUCAGUGGUGAGGAAGGUCAGUAAGUUAAUAACUGGCUGAACUGACGUAAGCCACGAGAAGCACCGGCCAACUCCGUGCCAGCAGCGCGGUAAUACGGAGGGUGCAAGCGUAAUCGGAAUUACUGGGCGUAAAGCGUACGUAGGCGGUGUGUUAAGCAAGAUGUGAAAGCCCCGGGCUCAACCUGGGAAUUGCAUUUUGAACUGGCACGCUAGAGUCCUGAAGAGGGUGGUAGAAUUUCCAGUGUAGCGGUGAAAUGCGUAGAUAUUGGAAGGAAUACCAGUGGCGAAGGCGGCCACCUGGUCAGAGACUGACGCUGAGGUACGAAAGCGUGGGGAGCAAACAGGAUUAGAUACCUGGUAGUCACGCCGUAAACGAUGUCACUAGUUGUUCGUGUCACUAGACGUGAGUACGCAGCUACGCACUAGUGGACGCCGGGGGAGUACGCCGCAGUAAACUCAAUGAUGGACGGGGGCCCCCACAGCGGUGGAGCAUGUGUCAAUCGAUGCAACGCGAGACUCACAUCUGAACAUCCAGUGAACACUCUAGAGAUAGAUUGGUGCCUUCGGGAACACUGAGACAGGUGCUGCAUGGCUGUCGUCAGCUCGUGUUGUGAGAUGUUGGGUUAAGUCCCGCAACGAGC